GUGGGCUUGGCCACGAUCGAGCGCGCGCGCAAGAGGCAAGCUGCUGGAAUCACAUGGCUCCGGGCCGGAGACACCAAAACUGCAUUCUUCCAGGCCAAGAUCAACGCGAGAUGGAGGAAGAAUUUCAUCCACUCUUUGUAGACAGAUUCGCGCACGGCAACCUCGCAUGAAGAUAAAGCAUCCAUCACCCACGAUCACUUCGUCAACCUACUGGGCACCAAGCGGGACCGCGGCUAUGCCAUAAACUGGGACGCGAUCGACCUGCCUUCCGUCAGCAAUGCUGGCUUGGAUAACCCAUUCACAAAACCAGAGUUAUGGGUUCUUGUUAUCGCUUCGCUUGCUGAUAAGGCACCAGGCCCCGACGGGUUCUCGGGCAACUUCUUACGUACCUGCUGGAUCACCAUUAAGCAUGAUAUCAUGGCGGGGUUUGAUCACUUCUACAGCCUGGCGGGGGCAACUUCUCAGCCUUGA
rnacentral:rRNA from 1 species